CGCCAGAUAGCUCAGUUGGUAGAGCACCUGACUAAAGAUUCAGGGGGCCCGGUUUCGAAUCCCGGACUGGUCC
rfam:Crassostrea gigas strain 05x7-T-G4-1.051#20 contig14931, whole genome shotgun sequence.